rnacentral:tRNA from 1 species
ACCUGGGUGGUUCAGUCAGUUAAGUGUCUGACUUUGGCUCAGAUCAUGAUCUCACAGUUUGUGGGUUCAAGUCCUGCUUCAGGCU